rnacentral:lncRNA from 1 species
GUGCUUGUUGCUCAUCAAGGGAAGUGGGAAGUAGCAGCACAUCCACCUUCACUCUCAUAAUAACGCUGCUUAGGCGCAGUCAUGAUUUAAUUAGAAACUUCUUGUCAAAAGAUGUUGUUUCUAACUAGUUGUGCGCACUGGUUGAUUUAGUUCAUGCCGUUAUGGUUGUCUUUCCAUUGCUAGCAGAUUAUUAAUGUCUAUUAUGUUCUCUUAUCAUGAUAUCUAUUUAUAUUUUGUUGCUUCCCCAUUUAUGUAAUUUUCAAAGGGGAUGCUGUCGAAAUUUUAUAUAUGAAUGUUAGAUGUGUAGUUUAGUAGCAUUCUGGGUGUUUGAGGAUCCUGGGGUGUUACAGUUGGUAUCAAAGCAUAGGCUUUAGAUUCUUGGCAAUUUGAAGAUAAAUUUGACACACUCGCACAUAUAGGAAGGGUAUGGGUUUAAAUAUCUUUGAUAUAUGUUAGUGUCUUUGAAGUGCAGAUGACAAUAACCUCACCCCUCCCUAUUCCUUUACGGUGAUGUGGUAAGUUGUUUAUGGCUUAAUGCUUGAUAUAAUUUAUUUCUGAAAUUUUAAUAUUGUUUGUUUAAUGUUGUAGAUAUCGCUGGUCAUUUGUGAAAAUGAAGUUGUUAUUAUGCUUGUGAUAUACAAGUAUGCCUAUCUUGUUUUCACCAUGUUUUUCAUGGUUGAGUUUUAUUACAAUAAUAUUGUUAUAUAUGCCUUAUUGAGGAUGUUUCUAAGAGGAGUGUGAAUUGCGUGUUUUGGGGUACAAGGUAAUCAUCAAUUUGAAUUUAAGUUGUUGAGCGGUUGGUGGAUAGCUCCAACUAUCUUUGCAAAGAAUGAUUGUUUAUGUUGAGAAACCAGUUCUCAAAGAAAUGAAUAUUGGUACUUUUAUAUGGAUUUUUGGGGGAAGUCUUUACAUAGCCAGAAUGGCUUACAUGUCUCUCUCUCUUCUAUCGUGUGUUUUAGUAGCCACAAAGCCUAGAUGUGGUUUAAAGUGGUUUCAUGUUAGUCAUGCUAAUUGUAGAAUAAAUCUUUGAUUUUUCUUGAUCCAUUGAUUAUGUAUUAAUACGUUGAGGAUGUGAUGGUUCUCUUCCCGAUGCAUGUUUGUGGAGCCAUUGUCGGACCACUUAUCUAUUGGUUUGAAUGAAGUCAUUGCCUAGCCUAGAGUUGGUUGUGUGUGGUUAGUCACCUAUUCCUAGAUGAUGUGGUUUUAACAUCAGCUUGGGAUGUUUUCCAAAUGUGUGAAGGAUUACGGGGCUAGGAUUGACAUUUUAUGUCUGGUACUCAGAGUGCAUCAUAUGAUAGAAUGAAAUGUAAGUUUCUGAACUACAGUAGAUGUAGACUUAUAUUAUGUGUAGGUUGACCUUACUAGUUUGGAUAUUUUUCUUAGUUGAGUUGUUGGAUGAAGUAUAGUGACAUGGGUUAAGCAAGUAUUGUGUUGUCGUUGGGCUGUCAGUGCUCUAUGUGGAGUUUUUUGCAUUUCUUCGAUGAACUGUGCCACACAUAAUGUUAUUGGCUUCUUGUCGGUUUUAUUGCUCCAUUAGUUCUGUAGAUUUUCUCCCUUUCGGUGGGGUGCAAAGAAUGUUAGAUUACAUGAUUAUCUUUUCAUUAUGGCAAGUACAAGGUUUAGGAAGACUAGGAGUUUUGUUUCAAUAGAACUAAUUCUUUCGUGGUGCUGUGAGGAGAGGUGUUUGAUCUUCUUAUACAUUCAUCUGGUGUGGAUGUUUCACCAUUAAAUUAAAAUGAAUUAUUGAAGUUGGUAAAGGUUGUGCUUGGUGCAUAUUACCCCUUCAUCAAAGAGUGUCGUUUUAAGACAUUGAUGCAGAUGUAUGGCUGCAUCCAAAUUCGAUGUUGUGAAAUCGUAGUGUUGAUUGCAUCUAUGACUUGGUUUGAGCUUCAUUACAUGUUGGUUCAUGCUUGAUGUCAGGUGGUGUAGUUUCCUUAGACAUUUAGUCUGAGGUCGAAGUUCUUGUGUUAAUUAAGACCAAUAAUGGACCCAUGUUUUGCAAUGGUGGUGUUAUAUGGGGUACCAUGGAUGUUUUGUUUGGAGUGGACGAAUUCGAGGACGAAUUCCUUUUAAGGGGGGUAGAGUGUAAUAUCCCAAAAAAAUGUUGCCAAAGGUUGAUCUUCAGUGCGUGGAUGUGGGAAAAGGGUUGUGGGCCGUUGGAUGCUAAGUCGGAGUCAUCUGUGGCGUCGCUUCUUUUCUUUCGCAAAGAAAACCCUAGUGGUGGCAUUUUCCCCCUUUUGCCCCUACUUGGCCGCCACCCCUUUCCCCCCCCUCCCACACUUGGCCGCCCCUCUCUACUUUUCCCUUGGGCUGGCUGUCCUCUCCUCCCAUGGCAGCCCCUCUCGAUGAUUUCCUCCUCCCUCUAGAUCUCCCCACGCGCAGCAAGGAUCGAGAAGAGGAGGAGCACAUUGAGUUGAAGGGGAAGAGAGGAUCAAGGAGAUGUUCUUCCCCAUCUCUUCUUGCAGAAUUUCUUGGGGAAACCCUAGGUAUGGAUGAGAUCCUUGUUCCUCCCUGUAAUUAUGUGCUUUUGGAGGUUGUGGAUCAUGGGAAUUAAAGGAUUAGAGGUUGGAUUAGAUGUGGGGUUAGGUUUUGAUCUCGAAUUUAGUUUUCUGCAGAAUGGCAGAUUCAACAGUUUCUGUUAAUCCCAGUUUUCUGUGGUCUUAGAGGCCUCAAAAAAAUAAAACGUCUAUAUAUAAGUCGUAGAUAAUUUGUAGAUCUUUCCGUGGCCGCGAAGAACACCUCAAUCGGACAUCAGAUCAGAGAGUUAUUGCAGUUUGAUUAUAGCAGUUUUUCAGUCUCUUAAUUCUGUGCAGAAUCUGUUCUCUUAAGAUUUAAGCAAUUUUAUCAAUAGAAUUAAACCUUGGGUUUGUAAGAAAAAAUGUAUAUAAUUUCAUAAGCUUUCCAGAUUGUUAAAGAGUGCAUUCAUAUGAAUUAUGAAACUCCAGUUAUGUUUGUUUUACUGUGGCUGUUUCUGUUAGCCUGAUAGAAAUGAGCGGGUCUGUUCACUGGUAGGUUUCAUCAAGUAAAUGGCCGAAUUGGCUCUCCCAGCUAUGGAGACUUUUGUAGAGGGAUAAAAUUUCUUACUUUCAGCAGAAUUUCAUGAUUUUUGGUUGAGUAGUUUGUGAGAUAUCGAAUUUUGAAAGUUAACUAUGCUGCUGUCUAAAACAGAUUCAGUCAGUUAUCUUGUUAGAUGUUUUAGAACUUAUAGAUGGCAGAAUUUAAUUAUCCAUCGAAUACCGAAGUUGUAGAAUAUUUUGUGUAGAUACUCAUGGAGUAUUUGUUUGAUAUCACCACUUUUAUAAUUUUAAAGAUACAAAAUUAACAAACAACAUUGUUGUUGUAUGACAUGUGGUUCAGAGUGGGAGGUUUUCCACCAGGUCUUGGUUUCAGGUGUAGGAUCGAUUUGUUGAUUGUUGGCAAAUGUUUGUGAAAUAUUUGUACUAAGUUUUAUGCCCGCUAGCAGGUGGCUACACUCCAGAUCAUGCCUAGUACAUUUUUCUUCUUCAAUGAAGGCAAGUGAAUGUAGCGGUGGUUGCUUCCGUUCUGACCUGUUAUUUCUAUUGCCUACACUCUAAUAUUCAGAAGUAUUGGAUUCUUUCAUAAUUGGACUCUAUGGUGAUGCUUUACUUGCUUGCAUUAUACUGAUGCUCAAUCAUAUAUUGAUGAUGAUUAUGAUUCGAGUAUGACUCAUGAGAUUAAUUCACACCCCUGAAGGUAAAUGAAGUAUUAUUUGAGGUUGGUAUUGUAUCUGAAGGUAAAUGAAGUAUUAUUUGAGGUUGUAUUGUAUGUGAAGGAAGUGAAGUAUAUUGAUAAAUGCAGCAUGCCAUAUACAUUGCAUGAUUCACUUGCAUCUGAAGUUGGGUCGUGACCUAUGGUCCGACCGUACCGGUACAACUUAGCAUCGUACGUUGCCCGAGGAGGGGUACGAUGCGGCUUCAUACCCUUAGAGGUAUGAAGGCAGAGGACAUAUGCAUUGCAUUCAUAUGCAUUCAUUGAAGUGAUAUUUGCAUAUGAUGUGGUUUUAUACCCUUAGAGGUAUGAAGACAGAGUACCUACACUUUGUGUUCCUAUGCAUACAUUGAAGUGAUAUUUGCAGGUAUUGUUGAUGCAUGGAAGUGUUAUACAAACUAUUGUGGUUGUUUAAGGAAAUGAGAUGGUAUUGGUUAUAUUGAGACUACUGAGUUCUAUAUCUACAAGAAUUUCUGAUCUUAAUUGUGAUUCUUUUAAAAUGUUGAUUAAUUCAAUUUGUGGUUUAAAUAUCUUGUCAAAACAAUUCGCUUGCUGAGAUGUUUCAUCUCACUCUUGCAUUACUCAAUGCAGGUGCUUGUUGCUCAUCAAGGGAAGUGGGAAGUAGCAGCACAUCCACCUUCACUCUCAUAAUAACGCUGCUUAGGCGCAGUCAUGAUUUAAUUAGAAACUUCUUGUCAAAAGAUGUUGUUUCUAACUAGUUGUGCGCACUGGUUGAUUUAGUUCAUGCCGUUAUGGUUGUCUUUCCAUUGCUAGCAGAUUAUUAAUGUCUAUUAUGUUCUCUUAUCAUGAUAUCUAUUUAUAUUUUGUUGCUUCCCCAUUUAUGUAAUUUUCAAAGGGGAUGCUGUCGAAAUUUUAUAUAUGAAUGUUAGAUGUGUAGUUUAGUAGGAUUCUGGGUGUUUGAGGAUCCUGGGGUGUUACAAAUUUACUUGAUCUACUUUUCAUUGGGUAGUUUUAAAUUGUGUGCACUAGUAGCAUAU